ACAGGAAACUAGUCAUUGAGCGGUUGACUAUCGCUGGGAUUAGAUGAACAAGCCAACUAAGAGAUCGUACUCCCAGAUCGCUUCAAAUCGAUUGAACGAUAAAUGCAUUAGUUAAUCUUAGCUUGGACACUUCGAAACUUACCUGUUACGCACGUAGCCUUCUGAAGACUUAGAUUUUCUUUUCCAUCGUCAAAAUUGAUGCUUUUUUAUAUAUUUUUGUUCUUUCGGUGUUGGUGAAUAAUGCGUACGUUACAGAAAGUUUACAUGUCGUAUAUGUAUGCUGAUCGGUAAAGUACAUCAAGAGGGAACUGUGUAUUCACCAUUUGGACCAGAUACAUGGACGUGGCGUCGGACCAAAUUAAUUAAGUGCGGUUAUCAUCCCAGCAACAACCUAGUCUUCUGGUUUAUUUCACAAAAUAAUUAAUUCACAGCUACAAACCAAGUAUUUUUUGCUUGUUCAGCUGAUUUUUAAUUUCAUAUGUUAAAGUACGAUGUCAACACAAUCAGAAAAGAAAAUGGCGUCAAAUGAUUUGCAUUAUCACGUUUCAGAUUUAAAAGAUGCCGGGCCAUUAGGUCGAAAUGCCAUCAGUUGUGAUGUUGCGAAAAAACAUACGGUUGUCGAUUAUAUGACAUCAAUUGAACGGAAACCUUACGAGAAUCAGCAUUUAUGCCGAAAGAAUGGUAUACGAGAACACAAACAUAAGGGUCGUGGAGGAGGUUGGGGAGGAGGAAGAUUCAAAACUCCGCCGCCUACACCUAAGGUGAACAAGAAAACAUUGAAAGACAUCGCUCAAGAUUAUCUCACAACGCUUGAAUCAGACUAUGUCGUUACGAAUAUGAACAGUGUCACCGUUGGAACUGGCAAAGAGAGUUUCGUGCAAUUGACAACAGAACCAAGCGCGCCCAAAAUUGACGAACAUUUGUACGACACGAUAACAGGUCAUUACAAAAAGAAAGAACGUGAACUAUAUAAUGAGGGAGGUAGUAAACGAUCCCCUAAACAAGACGCAUACUAUCUGGAUAUUAUAGAUGAUUGCAGCAAACCGGCAUUUCCAACAUCUUCUCAUUCGUACGAUGAAGUGAAAUGCAAGACAUUGUCCCUUUCUCGGUACCGAACACAUAUUUAUUCAUCUAAUAACCGUGAAUUCCUUAAUCGAGCCAAACAGAUAUUGACAACGGAUUUACUUGCACUACUACCAACUACACGAAGAAAACGAGUUGUUACAUUUUUCAUUGCCACUCUGUUUCUUUUAUGUUCGAUAUGGCUGGCAGUUAUAGCCUGAGCGUCGAAACCAGACAAGACAAAUGGACUGGUUUUUCCGACACAGCCGCACCAUCUUGUAGGUGAUGGCAGAUUCCAGCCAGUGACUACUGAAAUCGCAACAUCGGUGGGACCAUUACCUCCAGAAGGUGAUUGCCUCCAGCAGGAAUGUGAUCGCAAUAAAGUGAAACUGUCUAUAUGUGCUUCGAAUGGGAUUACCUAUGAAAGUAAAUGCGUUUUCAAAAUAGCAAAAUGCAAAGACCCUUCUCUGUUUAAAGUAGGAUCCGGUUCCUGCAGUUUAUUGAGCAGCGAUGACAUGGAGGAUGAUCGUGAUUAGAGUGCGAACUCGUUGAGCUAGAAAGAGAAUCGCCUGCGUUUUCACAUUCGUUGCCGGGGCGAGGUGGUGACUCAAUAAGAGCUGCUGUAGGCCACAAACCUGUCAUUCAAAAAACAUCCCGACUGAAAUAUUAGGCCUACUUGGAUUGAUAAUUGUUCUACAGUAGGCCUAUAUACUGGCUAUAUAGCCGUGGUGAUGUAAAUAGGCCUAACUAUCGUUACCAGUAUCAUGACCGCAAAACGUCAAAACAUAUCUUGGAUCGUGAUACAGCUAAUCACAUGCUGGUAAAAUCAGGAUAUUUACACUUUCAGUAUGGAUAAAUAAGCUAUACAAGGACUCACUGACACAGUUCUGCUUUUUUUAAAACAAAUUUGAAAAAAGUUAGCCAUCAUAAUUAGGUCUAACCAGCAGGCCUAAGCCUAUAGACAGUUUGCGAGUUGCCCUAAGUAAUAUAUGGUUUCCUGGAGGACUUGUCCAGUAUAAGAUAAUAAUUGUGUGUUUUGACAGAGAUGACAAGCGUAUUCUUAAAAAAAUAAUAAUAAUGUAUUAGAACGUAUUUCCCUCUACUGACUCCCGCCAGUCACUGUUCCAUUAGUUGAAUAUGUUAAAAAUGUUAUGCAAUUAAACGAAGUAAACAAGCAAUUGUAUGGCCAGAUAAGAAGUGUACGUAGCCCUAAAUAGGGGCCAGGCCGGGAAUGAUAAUAUUAUAAGCAAUGAAACCGGUAACGAAUGACAAAGUUCCUGACUUUGUGUUACUCUUGUGUGUGCGAGCAAGAACCACGGAGAUGGGUGGGUGUUCAAUUCCAUCCCUCAUGAAGGUGUUAGGGGGUGUCUGAAAUGCAAGUUAAAUAUAUAUUUCAAUUAAAAUGAAUAUAUUUUGUGUAACCAAUGUAGUAAAUAAAAUAUGGAAUUCCAAAUUAAA